UACGAAGGGGGCUAGCGUUGUUCGGAAUUACUGGGCGUAAAGGGCGCGUAGGCGGUCCUUCAAGUCAGGCGUGAAAGCCCCGGGCUCAACCUGGGAACCGCGCUUGAGACUGGCGGGCUAGAGUUCGGGAGAGGAUGGUGGAAUUCCCAGUGUAGAGGUGAAAUUCGUAGAUAUUGGGAGGAACACCGAUGGCGAAGGCAGCCCCCUGGGCUAACACUGACGCUCAUGCACGAAAGCGUGGGGAGCAAACAGG
rnacentral:rRNA from 1 species